UUUAUGGGGAACUGAAGAAACCUAUUGUCAAAUAUUUCCAGAAACUGUCAAAUGUUAGUGAAUGUAUGUGGACGGAAAGACGACGACCAUUGAGGUAAAAACAGCACAAUCAUCCGCUUAUCAAUUGUCUGCGGCGAGGGAAUGGACAUGAAGAAUCAUUUCUUAAGUCUGAGGGCAGUGGGAAAGAGAAGACUGCAUGGGCUAAGGAGAAAGGAUUUUCCCUGCGUGGGAUUACUCUCCCUACUCAACACGGAUGGUGGUUUCUCAGACAAAAACAAGAUACGUCGUCAACUGAAUUUCAAUUAAUAAAGCCGCUGGAUUUUAUGUGAGGAAAAGGUCUGAUGUAAAACAACAAUAUUGGUUCCUGUACUGUAGGACAUAGACUACUGAAGACAUGUUCAAAAUAAGGGAUUCUCUGAAUAUGUAAGGAAACGGUUACUGCAUAGGUGUGUCUAACGACAAUGUUUUAAGUCAUAUGGUCAUGU